rnacentral:rRNA from 1 species
UAAGGAAUAUUGGUCAAUGGACGCAAGCCUGAUCCAGCCAUGCCGCGUGGGUGAAGAAGGCCUUCGGGUUGUAAAGCCCUUUUGUUGGGGAAGAAAUCGUGCAGGUGAAUAUCCUGCGCGGAUGACGGUACCCAAAGAAUAAGCACCGGCUAACUUCGUGCCAGCAGCCGCGGUAAUACGAAGGGUGCAAGCGUUACUCGGAAUUACUGGGCGUAAAGCGUGCGUAGGCGGUUCGUUAAGUCCGUUGUGAAAGCCCUGGGCUCAACCUGGGAAUUGCAGUGGAUACUGGCGAGCUAGAGUACGGUAGAGGAUGGUGGAAUUCCCGGUGUAGCGGUGAAAUGCGUAGAGAUCGGGAGGAACACCCGUGGCGAAGGCGGCCAUCUGGACCAGUACUGACGCUGAGGCACGAAAGCGUGGGGAGCAAACA